rnacentral:rRNA from 1 species
CCUACGGGAGGCAGCAGUAGGGAAUAUUGCUCAAUGGGGGAAACCCUGAAGCAGCAACGCCGCGUGGAGGAUGAAGGUUUUCGGAUUGUAAACUCCUUUUGUUAGAGAAGAUAAUGACGGUAUCUCACGAAUAAGCACCGGCUAACACCGCGCCAGAAGCCGCGGUAAUACGGAGGGGGCAAGCGUUAUUCGGAAUUACUGGGCGUAAAGAGCGCGUAGGCGGGAUAGCAAGUCAGAUGUGAAAUCCUAUGGCUUAACCAUAGAACUGCAUUUGAGACUGUUGUUAUGGAGUAUGGGAGAGGUAGGUGGAAUUCUUGGUGGAGGGGUGAAAUCCGUAGAGAUCAAGAGGAAUACUCGUUGCGAAGGCGAUCUGCUAGAACAUAACUGACGGUGAUGCGCGAAAGCGUGGGGAGCAAACAGGAUUAGAUACCCUAGUAGUC